GACGAACGCUGGCGGCGUGCUUAAUACAUGCAAGUCGAACGGAAAGGCCAUGCUCGCGGGGUACUCGUGUGGCCAACGGGCGGGUAACACGUGGGUGAUCUGCCCUCCACUUCGGGUUAAGCCACGUCAACUGGGUCUAAUACCGGACAGGAGAUAUUUUUAGUGUGAUGGUUGGAAAGUUUUUUGCGUGUUGGAUGAGCCGGUGGGCUAUAGGCUUGUUGGUGGGGUAAUGGCCUACCGAGGCGGCGGCGGGUAGCCGGACUGUGGGGGUGGACGGCCACAGUGGGUCUGAGAGACGGCCCAGGUACGGACGGGAGGGAGCAGGGGGGAAGAUUGAACAAGGGGCGCAAGCCGGAUGCAGCGGCUCCGCGUGGGGGAUGACGGCCUUCGGGUUGAAAACCCCUUUCGCAAGGGACGGAGCAUUUUGUGACGGUACCUAGAUAAGAAGCACCGGCUAACUACGUG
rnacentral:rRNA from 1 species